GGGCUGCAGUGGGAACAAAGCUGUGGAUUUCUGGGUUCCCUUGAGCCCCAAGAGCUGGGCCUCUCCCCAGGACUCGGAAACAGAAAGUUGCUUCCCAACUCAGAAUGUCCAUAUUUCUGCCAGAUGAUCAGAAGCACCUGAUUCGAAACCAGAAUCUGGCGUAGAAACCCAGACCCCAGGAACCCACUCCUGGCCUGCUAAAUCAAAAUCUGCGCAGCGAGGACCCAGAAUCUGGAUUUAACCAGAUAUUAUAUGAGGAUUGUCUCCCCAGAAAGCCAACGUUCAUGAUCAUUAUUCUUGUGGAUGAGGAGUCUCAAGGUGACCAGUGUUUGCUGGAGGAGCUGCUGGAAUUUGCAAGACACAUCCUGGACCUCUGAUGACUGCUGAGUAAGAACUUGACAGACUUCCCCCCACAACUCCCCACCCCGGCAAAAUGGCUGAAGGUGGUCAAAAGCUUUGCAGAUGGCGGUCAGGAACAAGGCAUCUGUACUUCCCUAUGGGGAAAACGAUAAGCAAAAAAGCAGGCUCUUCUGGACCCACGGCCCUCAUGUAGCUACUGUGUAAUCAAGAAGCUAGAGCUGGGAGGACCCUAGCCUUCUGCCCAGCACCCCGGCCAAGAGCCUUCUGUGCACGCACCCUGGUUACCCGCUCAGAAAGAGAACACGGUUGGCCAAUAAAUGCAAGAAAAAUAUCCAGCUGCUCUAAGUUUUGCCUUUCACACUGUCAAAGAUUUUUUUUUUAAUUGUUAUACUCAGUCUUGGAAGGCUACCAUAAGAGACACUCAUAUAUAAUUUGGUGGGAGGUGGGGGAGUAAGAGAUAUUUGUGUGUAUUGAUGUGAUUGAAUAAUAUAUCUCCAUUGAAGUUAGAAUUAUGGAAGACUAUUUAGUGUCCUAGGGAAUGUUCCUGUGAUGUUAAUGAAAAAGCAGAUUACAAAAUAAUAUCUCAGGUAGAAUUCUUUGUUAAAAAUAUAUAGAUGGGUUAUACAUUCAAACCACAGUUCACAAUAAAAGA